CCGGUGUCGACUUACUAGCUGCAAGCCUCUGCCUGCCUUCCUGCGCGCCGUUCCCCGCUAGUCGCUGCUGCUGGCGCGCACUCGCCGGGUUUUUCCUCCCACGGCCUCGAGAUGGUGGUGAAUGUGGCACGGAGGAGCCGGGCCUUCCAACCCGGUGGGCCCGAGCUCCGAAAGGCCCCCUCGGCAGUGAGAGGGGCGGGAGCCCGCGGGGGCCGCGCCCUUCUCUCGCUUCGGACUGCGCAACGCUGCGCUCUGGGCUGACAGAUGAAGACUCUUAAGAUGACAGAAGGUGAUUUUUCUGGUGAUCGAGGACUUCCGGGGUAAUGACAGUGAUGAAAUGCAGGGGACCUGGUAGGUUUCUUUUGGAGACUAACUGGGGGCUGCCUGGUGGGACAGAACAGCAUGUUUCCAAGGGCUGUGGCUGGUCAUAGCCAUGGGAUCUCCAACUGCAUGCAAGAGCAACCUGGAAAGACUUUGACAGCGCAGGUUGCCCCCAAGUUUCCUGGCAGUGUGUGAUACUGAGGAGGUGAGCUUGUUUCUGGAGCUGUGCUUUAAGAUUCAUGUUACAUGUAAAGCUGUCCUCAUUUGUGACUAUGGACCUAUGGAGUUGGGACAAUCUCUAUGGGAAGCAGAAGGCAAGGACCCCGGUCAUUUUAGGUAGAAACAACAGCAUGCUAAUGCAAAAAAUUAUGCAGUGUGCUACUGAACUUCAGAGGUGAUCAAUAAAAGAAGAAUAAAAAGACUAAUAAAAGUA
rnacentral:lncRNA from 1 species